CACCUACUAACACGAGCCACAUAAAGCAGAUGCAGAGAGCAGAGAGCACAGAGAGUCCAAUUCAUUGUCAAGAUGAGAAGGUUCAUGUUUCUCUGUUUGGCUGGAUAUAUUCUGGCAGCACCAGAAAACCCAGAAAAACCUCCAUCGAAACGUAGCCUGGCAAAUAUGAUGCAGUGGCCCCCUGGUACUACAGGUCCAAUGUCAAAUAAGGAUGGGUUUAACACAACAACCAAGUCAUCAGUGGCACCAGCAGAAAGUGGUGGACACAACGAGACAAACCAUUGGAAUGGUACCACACAACCAAUUGAAAAUAACUACGGUUUCCCACCACCACCAGCUGAUGGAGAGAAAACUAAGGUGCCUAAAGAAGACACAGUGCCAAGAACAACGAAGAAACCAAAAACUGGAGUCCAUUGGCACCCCUUGAGUAAUAAACAUGCUUCACCAGGGGAUGCCACCAAGAAUAUUGAAGUCCACUGGCACCCCUUGGGUAACGAACAUGAUUUUCCACCUGCACAUAGUGAUGGAGAUGCAACCAAGGACAGUGGAGGCUUUUGGCACCCAAUGAGCAAUGUAGAUGAUUUUCCACCUGCACCUACUGAUGGAGAUGCGACCAAGGGGAAGGAAAGCUGA
rnacentral:lncRNA from 1 species